rnacentral:rRNA from 1 species
AGAGUUUGAUCAUGGCUCAGAACGUACGCUGGCGGCACGCCUAACACAUGCAAGUCGAACGAAGUAGCAAUACUUAGUGGCAGACGGGUGAGUAACAUGUAGGUAUCUGCCCUUUGGCCUGGAAUAACACGAGGAAACUUGUGCUAAUACCGGAUAAGUCUUUACGGAGAAAGCUUUAUGCACCAUUGGAUGAGCCUGCAUUUGAUUAGUUUGUUGGUGGGGUAAUGGCCUACCAAGACUGUGAUCAAUAGCUGAUUUGAGAGGAUGAUCAGCCACAUUGGGACUGAGACACGGCCCAAACUCCUACGGGAGGCAGCAGUGGGGAAUCUUGCACAAUGGAGGAAACUCUGAUGCAGCGAUGCCGCGUGAGUGAAGAAGGCCUUUGGGUUGUAAAGCUCUUUCGUCGGGGAAGAAAAUGACUGUACCCGAAUAAGAAGGUCCGGCUAACUUCGUGCCAGCAGCCGCGGUAAUACGAAGGGACCUAGCGUAGUUCGGAAUUACUGGGCUUAAAGAGUUCGUAGGUGGUUGAAAAAGUUGGUGGUGAAAUCCCAGAGCUUAACUCUGGAACUGCCAUCAAAACUUUUCAGCUAGAGUAUGAUAGAGGAAAGCAGAAUUUCUAGUGUAGAGGUGAAAUUCGUAGAUAUUAGAAAGAAUACCAAUUGCGAAGGCAGCUUUCUGGAUCAUUACUGACACUGAGGAACGAAAGCAUGGGUAGCGAAGAGGAUUAGAUACCCUCGUAGUCCAUGCCGUAAACGAUGUGUGUUAGACGUUGGAAAUUUAUUUUCAGUGUCGCAGCGAAAGCGAUAAACACACCGCCUGGGGAGUACGACCGCAAGGUUAAAACUCAAAUGAAUUGACGGGGACCCGCACAAGUAGUGGAGCAUG